rnacentral:rRNA from 1 species
GCGGCGCGCCUAACACAUGCAAGUCGAACGGAGUUAUGUUGAAAGCUUGCUGGAUAUAUAGCUUAGUGGCGGACGGGUGAGUAACACGUGAGUAACCUGCCUUUUUGAGUGGAAUAACGUUUGGAAACGAACGCUAAUACCGCAUAACGUCAGAGGACGGCAUCGUUCUUUGACCAAAGAUUUAUCGCUGAAAGAUGGGCUCGCGGCCGAUUAGGUAGUUGGCGAGAUAACAGCCCACCAAGCCGACGAUCGGUAGCCGGACUGAGAGGUUGAUCGGCCACAUUGGGACUGAGACACGGCCCAGACUCCUACGGGAGGCAGCAGUGGGGGAUAUUGCACAAUGGGGGGAACCCUGAUGCAGCGACGCCGCGUGAGGGAAGACGGUUUUCGGAUUGUAAACCUCUGUCUUUAGGGACGAAAAAAAUGACGGUACCUAAAGAGGAAGCCACGGCUAACUACGUGCCAGCAGCCGCGGUAAUACGUAGGUGGCAAGCGUUGUCCGGAAUUACUGGGUGUAAAGGGAGCGUAGGCGGGGAGGCAAGUUGAAUGUUUAAACUAUCGGCUCAACUGAUAGUCGCGUUCAAAACUGCCACUCUUGAGUGCAGUAGAGGUAGGCGGAAUUCCUAGUGUAGCGGUGAAAUGCGUAGAUAUUAGGAGGAACACCAGUGGCGAAGGCGGCCUACUGGGCUGUAACUGACGCUGAGGCUCGAAAGCGUGGGUAGCAAACAGGAUUAGAUACCCUGGUAGUCCACGCCGUAAACGAUGAUUACUAGGUGUGGGGGGACUGACCCCUUCCGUGCCGGAGUUAACACAAUAAGUAAUCCACCUGGGGAGUACGACCGCAAGGUUGAAACUCAAAGGAAUUGACGGGGGCCCGCACAAGCAGUGGAGUAUGUGGUUUAAUUCGAAGCAACGCGAAGAACCUUACCAGGUCUUGACAUCGAGUGACGAACUUAGAGAUAAGUUUUUCCUUCGGGACACGAAGACAGGUGGUGCAUGGUUGUCGUCAGCUCGUGUCGUGAGAUGUUGGGUUAAGUCCCGCAACGAGCGCAACCCUUAUCAUUAGUUGCUACGCAAGAGCACUCUAAUGAGACUGCCGUUGAUAAAACGGAGGAAGGUGGGGAUGACGUCAAAUCAUCAUGCCCCUUAUGACCUGGGCUACACACGUACUACAAUGGUGAUAGAACAGAGGGAAGCAACACAGCGAUGUGAAGCAAAUCCCGAAAAAUCAUCUCAGUUCAGAUUGCAGGCUGCAACUCGCCUGCAUGAAGUCGGAAUUGCUAGUAAUCGCGGAUCAGCAUGCCGCGGUGAAUACGUUCCCGGGCCUUG